CCUACCUAUAAGACUGGGAUAACUUCGGGAAACCGGAGCUAAUACCGGAUAACAUUUGGAACCGCAUGGUUCUAAAGUGAAAGAUGGUUUUGCUAUCACUUAUAGAUGGACCCGCGCCGUAUUAGCUAGUUGGUAAGGUAACGGCUUACCAAGGCGACGAUACGUAGCCGACCUGAGAGGGUGAUCGGCCACACUGGAACUGAGACACGGUCCAGACUCCUACGGGAGGCAGCAGUAGGGAAUCUUCCGCAAUGGGCGAAAGCCUGACGGAGCAACGCCGCGUGAGUGAUGAAGGGUUUCGGCUCGUAAAACUCUGUUAUUAGGGAAGAACAAACGUGUAAGUAACUGUGCACGUCUUGACGGUACCUAAUCAGAAAGCCACGGCUAACUACGUGCCAGCAGCCGCGGUAAUACGUAGGUGGCAAGCGUUAUCCGGAAUUAUUGGGCGUAAAGCGCGCGUAGGCGGUUUCUUAAGUCUGAUGUGAAAGCCCACGGCUCAACCGUGGAGGGUCAUUGGAAACUGGGAAACUUGAGUGCAGAAGAGGAAAGUGGAAAUUCCCAUGUGUAGCGGUGAAAUGCGCAGAGAUAUGGAGGAACACCAGUGGCGAAGGCGACUUUCUGGUCUGUAACUGACGCUGAUGUGCGAAAGCGUGGGGAUCAAACAGGAUUAGAUACCCUGGGUAGUCCACGCCGUAAACGAUGAGUGCUAAGUGUUAGGGGGUUUCCCGCCCCUUAGUGCUGCAGCUAACGCAUUAAGCACUCCGCCUGGGGAGUACGACCGCAAGGUUGAAACUCAAAGGAAUUGACGGGGACCCGCACAAGCGGUGGAGCAUGUGGUUUAAUU
rnacentral:rRNA from 1 species